rnacentral:rRNA from 1 species
CAGCAGCCGCGGUAAUACAGAGGGUGCAAGCGUUAAUCGGAUUUACUGGGCGUAAAGGGCGCGUAGGUGGUUAUGUAAGUGAGAUGUGAAAUCCCCGGGCUCAACCUGGGAACUGCAUCUUAUACUGCGUAGCUGGAGUGCAGUAGAGGGUAGUGGAAUUUCCGGUGUAGCGGUGAAAUGCGUAGAUAUCGGAAGGAACACCAGUGGCGAAGGCGGCUACCUGGACUGACACUGACACUGAGGCGCGAAAGCGUGGGGAGCAAACAGGAUUAGAUACCCGCGUAGUCCCUGUCUCUUAUAC